AACGAACGCUGGCGGCAGGCUUAACACAUGCAAGUCGAGCGCCCCGCCCGGGGUGCGGCCGACGGGUGAGUAACGCGUGGGAACGUACCCUUUGGUUCGGACCAACUCCGGGAAACUGGUGCCAUUAGCGGAUAAGCCCUAACGGGGGAAGAUUUAUCGCCGAACGAUCGGCCCGGGUCUGAUUAGCUAGUGGGUGGGGUAACGGCUCAGCAAGGCGACGAGCAGUAGCUGGACUGAGAGCAUGAUCAGCCACGAUGGGACUGAGACCCGGCCCAGACUCGUAGGGGGGGCAGCAGUGGGGAAUAUUGGACAAGGGGGGCAAGCCUGGUCCAGCCAUGCCGGGGAAGUGAUGAAGGCCUUAGGAUUGUAAAGCUCUUUUGUCCGGGAAGAUAAUGACUGUACCGGAAGAAUAAGCCCCGGCUAACUUCGUG
rnacentral:rRNA from 1 species